rnacentral:rRNA from 1 species
AUUGAACGCUGGCGGCAUGCCUUACACAUGCAAGUCGAACGGCAGCGGGCCUUCGGGUGCCGGCGAGUGGCGAACGGGUGAGUAAUGCAUCGGAACGUGCCAUUGAGUGGGGGAUAACGUAGCGAAAGUUGCGCUAAUACCGCAUAUUCUGUGAGCAGGAAAGCAGGGGACCGCAAGGCCUUGCGCUCUUUGAGCGGCCGAUGUCAGAUUAGCUAGUUGGUGAGGUAAAGGCUUACCAAGGCGACGAUCUGUAGCGGGUCUGAGAGGAUGAUCCGCCACACUGGAACUGAGACACGGUCCAGACUCCUACGGGAGGCAGCAGUAGGGAAUAUUGGGCAAUGGACGAAAGUCUGACCCAGCCAUGCCGCGUGCAGGAUGACUGCCCUAUGGGUUGUAAACUGCUUUUCUAUGGGAAGAAACACUCAUACGUGUAUGAACUUGACGGUACCAUAGGAAUAAGGAUCGGCUAACUCCG